rnacentral:rRNA from 1 species
CCCUUAGAUGUUCUGGGCCGCACGCGCGCUACAAUGAUGAAUUCAACGAGUUUAUAACCUUGGUUGAAAAGCCUGGGUAAUCUUUUGAACUUUCGUCGUGAUGGGGCUAGACCCUUGCAAUUAUUGGUCUCCAACGAGGAAUUCCUAGUAAACGCAAGUCAUCAGCUUGCAUUGAUUACGUCCCUGCCCUUUGUACACACCGCCCGUCGUACCUACCGAUUGAAUGGUCCGGUGAAAUCUUCGGAUUGAGACUUUGUUUUCUUCACGGAAAACGCUGUUUUAAAAAGUUGAUUAAACCUUACCAUUUAGAGGAAGGUGAAGUCGUAACA